rnacentral:rRNA from 1 species
UGCCAGCAGCCGCGGUAAUACGAAGGGUCCAAGCGUUGUUCGGAAUCAUUGGGCGUAAAGCGCGCGCAGGCGGAUCAGUAAGUCAGGUGUGAAAUCUCAGAGCUCAACUCUGAAACUGCGCCUGAAACUACUAGUCUAGAAUGUCGGAGGGGGCAGGGGAAUUUCACGUGUAGGGGUAAAAUCCGUAGAGAUGUGAAGGAACACCGGAGGCGAAGGCGCCUGCCUGGACGACUAUUGACGCUGAGGCGCGAAAGCGUGGGGAGCAAACAGGAUUAGAUACCCUGGUAGUCC